UUCAAAAAUUGGUGUGGCUUAUUUUGGCCC
rnacentral:piRNA from 1 species